UGUUCUGUGCAGCCUGCACCUGCACAUCACAGACCCUGGCAGGGGUGAGGCUGUUCUGUUCAGCCUGCACCUCCAUGUCAGAGGCCCUGGCAGGGGCGAGGGUGCUCUGUACAGCCUGCACCUCCAUGUCAAAGACCAUGGCAGGGGCGAGGGUGCUCUGUACAGCCUGUACCUCCAUGUCAGAGGCCCUGGCAGGGGCGAGGGUGCUCUAUACAGUCUGCACCUCCACAUCACAGACCCUGGCAGGGGUGAGGCUGUUCUGUGCAGCCUGCACCUCCAUGUCGAAGGCCCCGGCAGGGGCGGGAGUGCUCUGUACAGCCUGCACCUCCAUGUCAAAGACCAUGGCAGGGGCGAGGGUGCUCUAUACAGCCUGUACCUCCAUGUCAAAGACCAUGGCAGGGGUGAGGGUGCUCUGUACAGCCUUCACCUCCAUGUCAGAGACCCUGGUGGGGACGAGGGUGAGGGUGUUGCCAACUGCAGAAGCGGGGAACUGUUGUGCUCAAUGGCUUCAUCACACCCCAUGCCUACAGGGAGGGGUUCAAUGUAGCAUUUGAGAUAAUUUCCAAACCAGCUUCCAUUCAUACUUUAAGCCUUGCCUUCCUUCAUUUCCCACGCCAAACCUGUAGAAUUCCCAAAUCUCCUCCUUUGGCUCUGAACUUGCUUCUCUCCCCACCCAGUGCGGCCCGUUCCUGAGACAUCUCCCCCACUCCAGAGCGAGCUGCUUCCUCCUCUGUGCCCUUACCUGUUUGCAGGUGCAUGAUUGCCUGACCACAUGGAUCAGUAGUAAAUUCCCAGUUGGGCUGUGAGUUCUGAGGGGACUGGGCUCUUGGUUCAGUUGCUUCUUUCCAGCCCUAUACACAGGUUGCAUGCAUGGCUGGCACUCAGUUUGUUGAAUGAAUGUUUGAAAAGACAAUAUUCUCCAUUCUUCAUUCAUCUCUCUUAUCCGUGAUCCAAAUUCACAAAAUGGAUUCUUAGGGAAAUAAAGCAACGACCAAAGGCUAUCACAGGAAAAGUUUACUCAAAAACGAUCCGUUCAAUGAAACAUGAAGUGUCUAAUAUGUGCCCAUUCUAUGGUAAUGUUUUUUAAUAAAAACUUUUGUUCUUGCUUUCCAGGAGUUUGGAAAGGCAAGGCCAGCAUGCUCUACAGGAAAACCGGACUGGUGAUAACCUUGUUGGUCAAUAGCACUGCCUGGAGACUUCCCAAGGGCUGCCAUUUGGUUAGGCUCAUUGAGAGAUACACAAAAAUAGGAGUAAAAGGCUUCACAAUUUUAAGCAUCUUGAGGAAGAGUGCUGCGUAAGGGGCUGAAUGAUGCCCCCAACCCCCCAAAAUUAGUCCACUUGGAGCCCAUGAAUGGGACCUCAUUUGGGCAAAAGGGCCUUCGCAGAUGUAAUUAAGGACCUGAAGAUGAGAUCAUCCUGGACUAAUCAGGGAGGCCCGAGACCCCAUGACACAGACAGGGGCACAGGGAGAGUUGCACGUGACAGUGGAGGAAGGGAUUGGAGGGAUGCAUCUGUGCCCAAGGAACACCAAGGGUUGCCAGCAGCUCCCAGGAGGAGACGGGAUGGAGCGGACGCUCUCCAGAGCCUUUGGAAGGAACCAACUCUGAUACCGGAUUUCUGUCCUGCAGAACUAGGAGAAAAUGCAUUUCUGUUUGAAGUUACGAAGUUUGCGGUCAUUUGUGACAGCAGCCUCAGGAGAUGAACACAGGGUGGCUCCAUGCCAGGCCAGGAGGGCAGGAGGCCGGGGCUCUGUGUGCUCCAGGGCUCACUCAGGCUCACUCUGGGCAUUCAGUGCAGUGUUUGGGGCGCCUGGCGAUGCUGGGUGUGAGGAGACGUGGUCUGUGCCUUCUGGCCCAUCACAUAAUUUGCUUUGGGUGCUGAUACCAACCACAGGCAAUUUAAUUCUAGACUGGAAUGGAGCUGGGAAGGGUGCACCUUCCUGGCAAAAGCAGCUUCGUCCAAAGCCUGCGCCUCGGAGGCUGAGCGUGGCAGGCCGGGCUGUUUUCACACGGCCACUCUAGAAAGAGCGGAAAUGCAGACGCUUUCCUCCUUCACGAUUUUUGGUUGCUUUGACUUUUGGUGUGUCUGAGAGGCUAUAACUCAAAUAGCUGUUCUCCACCUUUGGUUAGAUCCUGGAGUCUCUGGUACGUUGUCGGUCAAUGGUGCUGCGUGGAGGCUUCCCAAAGGCCGCCGUUUCGGUGGCUCCUUGAGAGAUGUAGAAGAAAUAGGAGCAAAAGGCUACACAGGAGAGAUACAAGCAGCUUCUACCUUCAAAUUACUGUGGUUUUUAUUUGACCUGUUGGAAGUUCUGGGGUUUCUAUAAAGGAUAAAAACUCCCUUUGGCACAGUUUGGAUCAGAAAAGUCCUGACUCCGGCCCCUUCAGUUUAUGACCUGAGGAGCCUGAGGGCCUGAGGGCAGCCAGUGGCCCGAACACACGGGCUCUUUAGCUGGGGAGGGACUUGAAGCCAGGUGUUCCGAUGCGAGGACCCUCUCCCACCACAUGCAGCACAGCACUGCUUGUGUUUGGUUUCGUAUUGCUUUGGGAUUAGUCCAGCUAUCACCAUUGAUGUGAAUAAACAGACAUGUAUCUUUUCAGUUUGCACAACUUCAAUCAUAAAUGAGUAUUAGUGUGAAGACAUGCCCAGGUCCUGGAACACUCAGCACAUGUAGAGCCGGGUGAGUGCCAUUAUCCAAACGAUCACAUUUUGUGGAUGAAGAAGCUCCACUCAUUUCACGCUCCUGUGGAAAACGAACCAGAGCCUGUUUUUCUUCGUAGCAGCUGGAAGUCAGUUGAUCUCGAUUCAUUAUUCACUGUAUUUUUUUAGAUUACUUAUUUCAUUAUUUUAUGAAGGAUAGGAUUUAUUUAACUGUGAUUGCUGUGAUACAUUUCCCCCCGCUCUCUCUAAGGUACCAUUUCUUCUAAUCAAUACAUCAAGAUCUUGCGGUGAGACUGGGAUAGCGCGGGAUAUUUGGGAAGAAAUUCUGAUGGAGUUUUAGAACGUGAAGCGAGAUUGGAAAUACAAGUUCUGAUUGGGAAGAUGUUGCGAAUCCUGCAGAUGAGUAAAGACGCUAAGAGAUACAAACCACGCAAGAGGUGGUCAACCAGGUGCCUCAGCGGCAGCCCUGAGUGCAGGCCGUGAGUGGUGCCUAUGUGCAGGUCCGAGGGAGAGUCAGUUUGGGUGCGGAAGAGGGAUACAGAGGAGUCAGCGAUAGGAUCUGGCUUUAAAGGGACUUGCAGCAUCACGAAUGAGCUGGGACAUAAUUACAAUUAGGGUGCAAGUCAAAACGUGGCAAGUUUCAUGGAGAGAUAAAAAUACAGUGGGAGCUCGAUGGGGGAGUGAUCACUUCUACGCGGAGGAUAAGAGCGCCUCUAUGGAGGAGAGGCAUUGAGCUACGUCUUUAUUAUUACUUCCAGAAGCCAGUGAAUUUUAUAAUCUUAAUUUUCUAGAUGCCUCAAAGCAUGGAGUACACUUAGCUUCCCCAGAGCUUAACUUAAAAAGGAACAACUCCAUGCACAUGACCCAGGCAGGCCAGCAGCUGGCACAUGCCACCCUUUCCUGGCCCUCUCUGGCAGUGCUGAGUUCAGAAAAGGUUAUGCUUUCUGUUUCUUCACAAGAAAACUGGGGGGUGGGGGGUGGGAGGAAGGACAAAAAACGUCAGUGCACCGUGCUGCUUCACAAACCCCCAUGUCUUUUUCAUUCCUCUGCUGCUUCCCCAGCUACAGAGAAAACGCAGGGAUGAUUGCUAAGAACUUAGAAGGAGAAAAAACAAAAAAAAAAGGAAGAAAACCGACCAGAGCUAUCUCAGAAAUGAGAUCAUCUUUUCAUGUGUGCGCUUUAAUGAUCUCUUUCAUUUGAAGCAAUUGUAAAGGCCAUAAUUACUGUUAUUCCUAAUAUUCUAAUGCCAAAUUGUCAACCAAAGGCGCUGGGGGAAUCAAUGGGGCGCUGCUGUUUGAUGAUCUCACGUGUGAUAGGACGCUGCUGAUAAGACAGAUUAGGACCAUUGCAGAGUUUGAUCAGGUAGCCAAGAAACAUGUCAGCAGCUUACUGCAUUCACGUGUGUGUGUGCUCCACGCCGCGUCCUUCCCCCUGGAAAAUAAAAGCAAUUUGCAGAAGUGCAUGGGGCUUAGUCCGGUGGAGCAGCUUCACCCGGUGAACACCCCAGGCGUUCUGGAAGGCUGUGUUGCAGGAGGCGAGUAUCAGAGGUUUCUCCCUGCAGCCAACGAGGCUGCGGCUCUGCCUCGCAGCUCUGGAAAUGCUAAGCAGAUGUAUUCAUGAGUCCAUGCAGCAGGAAGUGGAGCUGUCACAGGGUAUGAAGGGGGGACAAGUGCAGCGUCGUGAACGUGUACAGAGGGAAGUUGACAGCGGGGAGAGGCUUUGCUGAGGAAGUGGCAUUUGGAAGAGGAAGAAUGAGGUAAGUGAGGGGAGUGAAGAGCAAUAGGGGCAGUUUAUGCAAAAGCUGGGGGUGCAAGGAUGCUGCUGAGCUGGAGGAAGGAGGCCAGAGGGACUGAUCACGGCCUUGGGGGAUGGGAUGUGAGGUCAGUGGGGGCUUAUGAAGAAGCAGGAGAAGGGGUCUGGAAUCUCUUUGGAGGGUCACAGAGAGCCGCGGGAGGGUUUCGGGUGCAGGAGUGACCCAGUCAGAUGGGUGGCAGAUCAGACACUCUGGCUGUCGUGUGGGAAUGGGCUGCGGAGCGUGGUCCAUCCUACAGGAGCUACUUACAGGUGGGAAGCGGCGAUGUCUUGGAUGGGGGUGGGAGAAGGGCCAAGGCAUAUGUGUGGGGUGUGGAAAAAGCACAGGCGCAGGGGAAAGCCCGAUGGGAUGUUGGUAGCAGCUUGCAUUUGAUUUUGGGGAUGAAGUGGAAAGUGUGUCAAGGCGUGUGCCCUGGUUUUUGGUGUGUGCAGCUGGUGGUGCUGAGACAGGACCCUCAGGGAGGCUGGGGUGCAGGGGAAUUGCCGCCUGGGUGUUGAGCCAUCAGGACCCAUGGAGGGGCUGGCAGCUGGACCUGCCGGUCUAGAAGGGAGGGCUGUUGGGACCUCAGCCUGGGUUUGGGAGGCAUCGGUGUCGAUUUCCUCACUGACAUUUCCACUGGGCAAGAGCCAGGGACCCUUAAGGAUCUCAUCGUUUAGUCAGUAACGAUUUUUGAACAUGAAAUAAUUAGGCAGAAAUAUGACCAAACAAGCCUGCUAUCACAUAGGCAGUGUGGAAAACAGCUGUUAGGGGACGCCGGGAGAGGAGGACGCUCCAUGAGCCAGGGGUUCGACGGCUUCCUUCCUGGGCGUCUAAGGGACCUGGUGCCCCAUCUGAGCCUGCCCGUUCUCCUUCCCUCUUCCCUAACUCUGGUGGGGCAGGGUGGAGGUGUCCGUAGAGGGCUUCCUCCUCUCUUGUCUUCUAGGCCAGGCACCAAGCCCACCCUGCAUCCAUUCCCAGGGAGCAGCCGUGGGCACAGGAGUGACUGCAGAAGUGAGUCAGAUUGGAGCCCUGUGAGGUCUAACCCAGGUGACCAGGCAUGGGCUGAGAGUCCAGGGUCAGAGAAGGAAGGGGCAUAAGUGAGGGGCAAGCAAGUGGGCGCUUAGCACCCUGACAUGCAGGUGGCUUGGCACCCCAACAUGCAGGUGCUCAGCACCCCAAGAUGCAGAUGGCUCAGCACCCCGACACGUAGGUCGCUCAGCAUGCGGACAUGCAGGUGGCUCGGCACCCCAACACGCAGGUGCCUCAGCACGCCGACAUGCAGAUUGGAAUGAGAAACCCACUCCUGUUAGGGGAAACCUGGAGAAGCCAGUGAAGGACACUGUGACUAGCGAACAGCUUCUCACAUGCUUUCUUCACCCGGCGGCUGGGUGGCCCCGGGAAGCUCAGACGGAGGAAGUGGAUGGAGCUAAGUGGCCCCAGGAGGCUGGAGGCAGGAGCAGAUGCGGGAGGCACUGCUUCUCCUCUCUCUGGGACUCAAUUAUCUGCACAGGGUGUUUCCUUCUUGUUAAAAGUGCCACUGUCCACCAGUCAGUGACUCCUCAAGAAAUCUCUGAAAGUGUCACUGCAAAGAGGCAACUUCCGCAGGGACCAACGGAUGUGACUGGGGAGAUGUGGCCACAGAGCAAGUGUGAAUAGAAUCUCUACAGUGGGCACUCACACAGACUUCGUCUUUCCAGAGGUCGCCCGAUAGUCAUUCCUGACCAAUCUCUCAGCAGUGGCUCCUCUGAACUGUACACUUCUGUGCCUUAUCCGUCUCCGCUCAGUGUGGUCAAGAAGGCACCACUUUAUUUUUUAAUUUUUCGUUUGUUUUUGAGACAGGGUCCCACUCUGUCACCCAGGCUGGAGUGCAGUGGCAUGAUCUCGGCUCACUGCAGCCUCUGCCUCCCAGGCUCAAGCGAUCCUCCCACCUCAGCCUCUCAAGUUGCUGGGACUACAGGUGUGCACCACUGCGCUUGGCUGAUUUUUGUAUUUGUUUGUUUGUUUUUUUUAGUGGGAAUUUGCCAUGUUACCCAGGCUGGUCACGAACUCCUGUGCUCAAGCGAUCUGCCUGCCUCAGCCUCCCAAAGUGCUGGGAUUGCAGGCAUGAGCCACCGCGCCCAGCCACAAAGUCACAGCUUUAUAGGCCACCACUUAAAUGCACCUGGCAGCUUAAUGUGUGAGAGAACUUUCCUGCAGCUCCUUUAAGUUUAACAAUCCUUUGGCAAAAUGAAUAAUACAAGCAUGUUUCUUCUUCAUAUGCUUUGUUUUAGGAACAUUAAAAAUACAGUUAUUAAAAGCAGAAAGCAGUUAUAUUUGUAUGUUUUGUAACAAAUACUGUGGCCUGAUAGAAUGAGCUUCUGACAAAGGCUUGUGCUUUCCAAGUGGGCCAAGUUCCAAAGUUGUCCGCAGAGUUGUCUCACGGGCUCAUCCAGCCCAUCAUUCAAAUAUGUAAAGGCGCUACUAAGGGCCAAGUUACUCACUGUACAUCUUUAAGGAUGAGUUUAACUUAUUUAUCUAUUUAUUUUCAAUCUCAGAAUACUUUAUAUUGACUCCUAAAAGUAUAGUGUAUGUUUGUUUUGGGAAUUUCAUUACAAUCCGUAAAUUUAUGUAUCUCAAAUGUACAGGGACUCAUUGAAUCAGACAGUGCUAAUCUUCCUAAAACAGUGUCAAAAACAAGGGAAUCAAUCAUGAACACGCUAAGCAUGAGGAUCUACUGUCACAAGACAUGGCUGAGUUUAUUUUUUCUUCCUUCUUACUACACUCAUAGAACAGAGUUCUUUUGUUUGGUUAUGACCUGGGCAAAUUUGCUGUAUGAUAAAAAAAAAAAAAAAAAGUCACGUAUGCAUUUGAUUCUCAUCCAGAUGCCCUUAGGAUAAGAGGUUCAUUUUCAUCUUCUGUUUUCCAAAUGAAGCUUUAAAUCUAAUUAGAUCUUGAAAGAAAAUAACUGCAAUAGGGUUUCUGUAAGUAAAGGGCCCUCAUUUAAAUAAUGCUUUUAUUUGUUUAUGUGAUUUACAGUAAGUGAUGAAACUCUUUGUGGCCAGCACGCCGCUCACUGCAGGGAUCCUUUGCACAGAGCACUUUGAGUUAGUUACAAACCAUUCUAGACACAGAAACAUUUCAUUGUUAGAACAUUUCAUAGUGUAACAGCAUCUCUCAGUGCCUGGCAUGGGCCUUCUCCAUAUCGAAGGCCCAGUAAAUAUUGGUAGAGUAAAUGAAUUCACACCCAUCCAUUGCCCGGAUGAUAAUUGAGUGGCUCUUCUAUUAAGGGUUAGCGUUUUCAUGUUAAUUUAAAGUGGGGGAGUUUGAAGGGAGAAACGCUAAUUUCAGACUCUAAAAUGAAGACAAGUCUCCUAUAGAACGAGGUCCCAGAGACUCUAAGACAUCUGUGUUGAUAGGCAUAGGGCUGCAGGAAUUGAGAAGUGGUUGAUGAGGGAGCAUCUAUCUGUUUCAGAACUGCUGUUUGCAGGUUGUAUUUGUUUGUUUGUUCCACAGCUGUUUUUGAAGGAUCUUUCUACUCUUAAUGGAAUCAGGUACUUCACUCAGAGGCCCAAAGGUGUACCUUAGGCUGGGUUUAUGGCUCAAUCCAGCAUCCUAAAAGAAAAUGUUUGCCUAAGCAUUUUUUUUCAUAAAAAUAUAUACACUCAUCAUCAUAAAUUCGGAUUUCCAUGGUAUUUGCUUUGUGAUAGAACCCCAGUGUUAGGACAGUCUUACCAGGGACAGGACUAACGUGGAAACAGCUGACUCCGCUGGCCCUGGCUGAACCGCGACGUGGAUGGAGUGGCCUGUGAAGUGCUCUCAGUUCCUGGUUCAAGGUUAGGGAGAUGGUGAAAAAGGCUGAGCACCUGUCAGUGCAUUAAAACCAUCAACCAUCACCGAACAGCUUUGGAAUGAAGGCUUCCUACUCCUUAGAAAUUCUGCCCUGGCUUCAUUUCCUUUUAAUUUUUUCCCCUACUUGGUGAACCCAAAGACACUUGCCCAGUGGACUCCCACUCUGAGGGGAUUUGUAAAUAUUUGACAGAGUCGAAUUGAAGAUCAAAAAUGAAACCCGGCGCCGCUCUCCGA